ACGGCAGUCGGCUAGGAU
rnacentral:sRNA from 1 species